GUGCUUACUUCAGUAGUACAGACACUAACAUUGAAAUAACAUAGAGAAGAUUAACAUGAACCCUGUGCAGGUGCCACAUGCAAAUUCAUGAAGUGUUCCCAGUUUAA